GCUCUUCGUAUGGAUGGAUUUAAAUUGUGUUUGACCAAUACAUCUAUAACUCCACCUGUCAGUGAUUUCUGCUAUACAGAUCCUGAUCCAGGACUUCCAAACAUAAUUCAGACUAUUUCUUUUAAUCACUUUGCAAAAUAUGUCAUUUAUUACGAUGAUAAAGGAUCUACAAAUUUUCAAGGUCGCGUUGAUGGACCUGUUAUUGAAUUAUGUUACGUUGCCAUUAAUGGUAUGUUCAACAUUAUUAUGUACGACUUUAUAUAUUCUCCAAUCUAAGCAUCUGUCCCUUUCUUUGAAUUAUUAUUCUUUUCUGCUACUUUUAGAUAAAAAUAGUUUUCACUAAUUAUGUUUACAGAACUGGAUUUUUUGUUCUACUUUGUUGCGUUUUUAAGAAAUUCGUUUGUGACAUUUUUGUCAAUUUUGUCAAAUUCUCCUUGCAAACGAAAAUGAGAGCGCACUAACAACAACAUAUGAAUUGAGUGUCUCAAACUAUUUCAUUUCAACCUAGCAAAGAGAACUUUAAAUUACACUCGAAACAAAAAUAAACUACUCCACAUAUAUGUAAUAAAUAAUGUCUAUAUAAUUUCGACUUCAUAAACCCAUUAUUAUCAAGACUUGCAUUAAAGAAAUCAAACUAUGUUUAACAAAUAUAUUUUGAUAAACGACAAACAAUGCGCUGUUGUGUGAUUCACUUUGUAUAUAAUACUAUCAAUAAAUGAAUCACUGAUUAAUCAAAUAAUCGUUCGAACUAUUGUCCCUUUCAGGGUGUCAAAAGGGUUUUUGGGGAAGUUAUUGCACGAUUAAAUGUGCCGAAAAUUGCAUCGAAGGUAAUUGCUUCCCUGGAAAUGGUUCUUGUGUUUGGGGAUGUGACCCUACCAACUGUUUAAAUAAUGUUUGCAAUAAAGAUACUGCAGAAUGUACCGACGGUUGUAAAGAAGGAAGGACCGGAAACCAUUGUAACAAGUGUAA
rnacentral:lncRNA from 1 species